rnacentral:tmRNA from 1 species
GGGGGCGACUUGGCUUCGACGUUAGUAGCAAGACUCUAGGUGCAUGUCGAGUUGUGUGUAUCUCGUUAAACUGCCACAAACUAAAGUAAACGCAAAUGAUAGAACGUUUAACAGGGUCGCUGUAGCUUAAUUGCUUCAAACCCUCUCCUAAGGUGUAUUGCAGAUGGUAUAUCCCAAGGAGUUAUUUACAUCUGUUCGCAUUAGUUUAUGCCUUUGAUUCUAAUGUUCAAUUAAAAGGAUCGCUUAGCAAAAUCCAGCCAGUCGGAGAUUGCUGUAGUUAAAUUAAAAGGCUGAUCUAAGCAUGUAGAGCCAAAAGUUAAGCGCUAGCGGACGCGGGUUCAAUUCCCGCCGCCUCCA